rnacentral:rRNA from 1 species
AGAGUUCGAUCCUGGCUCAGGAUGAACCCUGGCGGCAUGCUUAACACAUGCAAGUCGGACGGGAAGUGGUGUUUCCAGUGGCGGACAGGUGAGUAACGCGUAAGAACCUACCCUUGGGAGGGAACAACAGUUGGAAACGGCUGCUAAUACCUCGUAGCGUGAGAAGCAAAAGGAGGAAUUCGCCGAGGAGGGGCUCGCGUCUGAUUAGCUAGUUGGUGAGGCAAUAGCUUACCAAGGCGAUGAUCAGUAGCUGGUCCGAGAGGAUGAUCAGCCACACUGGGACUGAGACACGCCCAGACUUCUACGGGAGGCAGCAGUGGGGAAUUUUCCGCAAUGGGCGAAAGUCUAACGGAGCAAUGUCGCGUGGAGGUAGAUGGCCUACGGGUCAUGAACUUCUUUUCCCGGAGAAGAAGCAAUGACGGUAUCCGGGAUUAAGCAUCGGCUAACUCUGUGCCAACAGCCGUGGUAAGAAAGAGGAUGCAAGCGUUAUCCGGAAUGAUUGGGCGUUAAGCGUCUGUAGAUGGCUUUUAAGUCCGCAGUCAAAUCCCAAGGCUCAACCCUUUGACAGGCGGUGGAAACUACCAAGCUGGAGUACGGUAGGGCAGAGGGAAUUUUCGGUGGAGCGGUGAAAUGCGUAGAGAUCGGAAAGAACACUAACGGCGAAAGCACUCUGUUGGGCCGACACUGACACUGAGAGACAAAAGCUAGGGGAGCGAAUGGGAUUAGGUACCCCAGUAGUCCUAGCCGUAAACGAUGGAUACUAGCGCCUGUGCGUAUCGACCCGUGCAGUGUUGUAGCUAACGCGUUAAGUAUCCCGCCUGGGGAGUACGUUCGCAAAAUGAAACUCAAAGGAAUUGACGAGGGCCUGCACAAGCGGUGGAGCAUGUGUUUAAAUCUAUGCAAAUAGAAGAACCUUACCAGGGCUUGACAUGCCGCAAAUCCUCUUAAAAGAGAGGGGUGCCUUCGAGAACGCGGACACAGGUGGUGCAUGGCUGUAGUCAGCUCAUGCCGUAAGGUAUUGGGUUAAAUCCCGCAACGAGCGCAACCCUCGUGUUUAGUUGCCAACGUUUGAUUUGGAACCCUAAACAGACUGCCGGUGAUAAGCCGGAGGAAGGUGAGGAUGACGUCAAGUCAUCAUGCCCCUUAUACCCUGGCGACACACGUGCUACAAUGGCCGGGACAAAGGGUCGCGAUCCCGCGAGGGUGAGCUAACCCCAAUAACUGGUCCUCAGUUCGGAUUGCAGGCUACAACUCGCCUGCAUGAAGCCGGAAUCGCUAGUAAUCGCUGGUCAGCCAUAAGGCAGUGAAUUCGUUCCCUCCUUAUACACACCGCCCGUCACACUAUGGGAGCUGGACAUGUCCGAAGUCAUUACCUUAACCGCAAGGAAGGGGAUGCCGAAGGCGGGGCUAGUGACUGGAGUGAAGUCGUAACAAGGUAGCCAUACUGGAAGGUGCAGCUG